rnacentral:rRNA from 1 species
GAUGAACGCUGGCGGCGUGCCUAAUACAUGCAAGUCGAGCGAACGGACGAGAAGCUUGCUUCUCUGAUGUUAGCGGCGGACGGGUGAGUAACACGUGGAUAACCUACCUAUAAGACUGGGAUAACUUCGGGAAACCGGAGCUAAUACCGGAUGAUAUUUUGAACCGCAUGGUUCAAAAGUGAAAGACGGUCUUGCUGUCACUUAUAGAAGGAUCCGCGCUGCAUUAGCUAGUUGGUAAGGUAACGGCUUACCAAGGCAACGAUGCAUAGCCGACCUGAGAGGGUGAUCGGCCACACUGGAACUGAGACACGGUCCAGACUCCUACGGGAGGCAGCAGUAGGGAAUCUUCCGCAAUGGGCGAAAGCCUGACGGAGCAACGCCGCGUGAGUGAUGAAGGUCUUCGGAUCGUAAAACUCUGUUAUUAGGGAAGAACAUAUGUGUAAGUAACUGUGCACAUCUUGACGGUACCUAAUCAGAAAGCCACGGCUAACUACGUG